UUAGUGGCAGAGGGGUGAGUAACAUGUAGUUAUUUACCCUUUGGCCUGGAAUACCACGGGGAACCUUGUCCUAUUACUGGAUAGGUCUUUACGGAGAAGCUUUAUGCACCA
rnacentral:rRNA from 1 species